ensembl:lncRNA
AUGCUGGAAUUUGCCUGUAAAUGCAUCGCGAAGAGGCAGCCCAGAAUGAAGAAAGCAAGCAGGAGUGUCGGCUCAGCGCCUAAGGUGUCGGGGACAAGCAGAGUGCAGGCAGCGGACAAAGCCAGGCCCGAGAGCAGCUCCUCAGCCUCUGCGGGCAGCAGGCCCGUGAAGCCUGGGGCCGCAGCAGCGUUGUCGAAGACCAAGAGCAGUGAUGACCUUUUAGCUGGGAUGGCUGGAGGGGUGACCGUGACCAAUGGUGUCAAAGGCAAGAAGAACGCCUGCUCCUCGGCCACACCGGCCGCGCCCGCGCCUGCCGUGAGCGCCACGGAGAACAGGCCCAGGACCGGCACAGGCACGAGUUCUUCAACCAAGCGGAGCACUUGCACAGGUAAUAAAGAGCCCAGUUCUACUAGAGAAAGAUUGCGUGAGCGCACCCGACUAAACCAGAGCAAAAAACUACCUUCUGCAGGUCAGGGGGCUAAUGACGUGGCGUCGGCCAAACGCUCCCGCAGUCGCACGGCUGCGGAAUGCGACGUCCGCAUGAGCAAGUCCAAGUCGGACAAUCAGAUCAGUGACAAAGCUGCUCUGGAGGCCAGAGUGAAGGAUCUUCUCACCUUGGCCAAAACCAAGGACGUGGAGAUUUUACAUCUGCGGAGCGAGCUCCGGGACAUGCGUGCUCAGCUGGGUAUCAGCGAGGACCCCCUCACCGAGGGCGCCGAGACGUCCGAGGAGAAGGAAGCCAGCACCGUGCACCAGCCAACCGACGUGGAGUCCACCUUGCUGCAGCUGCAGGAGCAGAACGCCGCCAUCCGCGAAGAGCUCAACCAGCUGAAGAACGAGAACCGGAUGCUGAAGGACCGGCUGAACGCGCUGGGCUUCUCCCUGGAGCAGAGGCUGGACCAUUCCGAAAAGCUGUUUGGCUAUCAGUCCCUGAGCCCAGAGAUCACCCCUGGUAACCAGAGCGACGGCGGCGGGACGCUGACCUCCUCGGUGGAGGGCUCGGCCCCUGGCUCAGUGGAGGAUCUGCUGAGCCAGGAUGAAAACACGCUCAUGGACCAUCAGCACAGCAACUCCCUGGACAACCUGGACAGUGAGUGCAGUGAGGUGUACCAGCCCCUCACGUCCAGCGACGACGCCCUGGACGCGCCCUCGUCCUCGGAGUCAGAAGGCCUUCCGAGCGUAGAGCGCUCUCGCAAGGGCAGCAGCGGGAAUGCCAGCGAAGUGUCUGUCGCGUGCCUGACGGAGCGGAUACACCAGAUGGAGGAGAACCAGCACAGCACGAGCGAGGAGCUGCAGGCCACUCUGCAGGAGCUGGCUGACCUGCAGCAGAUCACCCAGGAGCUGAACAGCGAGAAUGAGCGGCUCGGCGAGGAGAAGGUGAUUCUCAUGGAGUCCCUGUGUCAGCAGAGCGACAAGCUGGAGCACUUCAGCCGGCAGAUUGAGUAUUUCCGCUCCCUCCUGGACGAGCAUCACAUUUCCUAUGUCAUCGACGAAGACGUGAAAAGCGGGCGCUACAUGGAGCUGGAGCAGCGCUACAUGGACCUCGCUGAGAACAGCCGCUUUGAACGGGAGCAGCUCCUUGGCGUCCAGCAGCACCUAAGCAACACCCUGAAGAUGGCCGAGCAGGACAACAAGGAGGCCCAGGAGCUGAUCGGCGCGCUCAAGGAGCGCAGCCACCACAUGGAGCGGGCCGUCGAGUCCGAGCAGAAGGGCAAGGCGGCCUUGGCCGCCACCCUGGAGGAGCUCAGAGCCACCCUGGCCAGUGACCAGAUCGAGAUGAAUCGCCUGAAGGCCCAGCUGGAGAACGAGAAGCAGAAAGUGGCGGAGCUGUACUCUAUCCAUAACUCUGGAGACAAGUCUGACAUUCAGGACCUCCUGGAGAGCGUCAGGCUGGACAAGGAGAAAGCAGAGACUCUGGCCAGUAGCCUGCAGGAAGACCUGGCCCACACCCGGAAUGAUGCCAACCGGCUGCAGGACGCCAUCGCAAAGGUGGAAGACGAGUACCGAGCCUUCCAAGGGGAAGCUAAGAAGCAGAUAGAGGACCUGAACGUGGCCGUAGAGAAGCUACGCUCAGAGCUGGAAGAAAGAGACACAGAGAGGAGUGACAUGAAGGAAACGAUCUUUGAGCUUGAGGAUGAAGUGGAGCAGCACCGGGCAGUGAAGCUGCACGACAACCUCAUCAUCUCGGACUUGGAGAAUACGGUUAAAAAACUCCAGGACCAAAAACAUGACAUGGAAAGAGAAAUCAAGACCCUGCACAGGCGACUGCGGGAGGAAUCAGCAGAAUGGCGGCAGUUCCAGGCUGAUCUGCAGACCGCGGUGGUCAUCGCUAAUGACAUCAAGUCUGAAGCCCAAGAGGAGAUUGGUGACCUGAAGCGCCGCUUACAUGAAGCUCAAGAGAAAAACGAGAAGCUCACGAAAGAAUUGGAGGAAAUAAAGUCACGCAAGCAGGAGGAGGAGCGUGGCCGGGUGUAUAACUACAUGAAUGCUGUGGAGAGAGACCUGGCGGCCCUGAGGCAGGGCAUGGGGCUGAGCAGAAGGUCCUCCACGUCCUCGGAGCCGACGCCCACCGUGAAGACCCUCAUCAAGUCCUUCGACAGCGCAUCUCAAGUGCCCAGCCCUGCCGCGGCAGCGAUGCCCCGGACGCCUCUGAGCCCAAGCCCUAUGAAGACGCCCCCUGCGGCCGCCGUCUCCCCCAUGCAGAGACAUUCCAUCAGUGGACCCAUCUCCACGUCCAAACCCCUGACAGCCCUCUCAGAUAAGAGACCAAACUACGGGGAGAUCCCUGUGCAAGAGCAUCUGCUGAGAACGUCUUCGACCAGCCGACCUGCUUCUCUGCCGAGAGUGCCUGCCAUGGAGAGCGCAAAGACCCUCUCAGGUACUGCCCUUCAUCUGAGCCGGCCUUUAGAGGUGCGUCUGGAAGGUCCGCUGAUGGAGCUGAGUUCCUUCUCUUUAGGAACACGAGUUGAAAUGUUUCUUCUCUCCACUUCCCAGGGAAGAAAGGAAGGAUCCCUGUCGGCCUUGGCGAGAGAAUAUGGGGGUUCCAAGAGGAACGCCUUGCUGAAGUGGUGUCAGAAGAAAACCGAGGGCUACCAGGUAACUGCGUCCUUCCGUCCAGGGGAGCCGGGCUGCUGGCACAGCCUGCUGAGCAGCACGAGCCCCAGACGUGGGGGGGCGUCCCGGGAGAAACAGUGCCUUCCCGUCCAGAGCAGCGGACCGUCACUCUGCUCCUGUUGA